rnacentral:rRNA from 1 species
UACGUAGGGGGCUAGCGUUGUCCGGAAUCAUUGGGCGUAAAGCGCGUGUAGGCGGUCCAGUAAGUCCGCUGUGAAAGUCGGGGGCUCAACCCUCGGAUGCCGGUGGAUACUGUCGGGCUUGAGUACGGAAGAGGCGAGUGGAAUUCCUGGUGUAGCGGUGAAAUGCGCAGAUAUCAGGAGGAACACCAAUUGCGAAGGCAGCUCGCUGGGACGUUACUGACGCUGAGACGCGAAAGCGUGGGGAGCAAACAGG